GCACGCGCCCGUCGCCCGAUUGCCGACCCGCAGUAGGGGCCUUUGGCCCCCAAGGGCACGUGUAGUAGGUGCAGCGACCGCGGCAGACAAGUCGCGGGCGCCUUCUUGGAGCGUAAUUCCCACCGAGCGGCGGGUAGAAUCCUUUGCAGACGACUUAAAUACGCGACGGGGUAUUGUAAGUGGCAGAGUGGCCUUGCUGCCACGAUCCACUGAGAUUCAGCCCUUUGUCGCUUCGAUUCGU
rnacentral:ncRNA from 1 species